rnacentral:rRNA from 1 species
CCUACGGGGGGCUGCAGUGAGGAAUAUUGGUCAAUGGGCGGAAGCCUGAACCAGCCAAGUAGCGUGCAGGAUGACGGCCCUACGGGUUGUAAACUGCUUUUAUACGGGAAUAACGCGCCUUACGUGUAGGGCUUUGCAUGUACCGUAUGAAUAAGGACCGGCUAAUUCCGUGCCAGCAGCCGCGGUAAUACGGAAGGUCCGGGCGUUAUCCGGAUUUAUUGGGUUUAAAGGGAGCGUAGGCCGCAUGUCAAGCGUGCUGUGAAAUGUCCGGGCUCAACCCGGGUCUUGCAGCGCGAACUGGCGUGCUUGAGUCCGCGGAAAGCAGGCGGAAUUCGGCGUGUAGCGGUGAAAUGCUUAGAUAUGACGCAGAACCCCGAUUGCGAAGGCAGCGUACCGGCCGGUCACUGACGCUGAGGCACGAAAGCGCGGGUAUCGAACAGGAUUAGAUACCCCAGUAGUC